AGUUGAUCAUGGCUCAGGAUGAACGCUGGCGGCGUGCCUAACACAUGCAAGUCGAACGGGGUUACUGGCAGCGGAGAUUCGGUCAAAGCAGCUUUAACCUAGUGGCGGACGGGUGAGUAACGCGUGGGGAACCUGCCCUGUACUGGGGGAUAACAGUGAGAAAUCACUGCUAAUACCGCAUAAGCGCACAGCAUCGCAUGAUGCAGUGUGAAAAACUGAGGUGGUACAGGAUGGCUCCGCGUUGGAUUAGCCAGUUGGCGGGGUAACGGCCCACCAAAGCGACGAUCCAUAGCCGGCCUGAGAGGGUGAACGGCCACAUUGGGACUGAGACACGGCCCAGACUCCUACGGGAGGCAGCAGUGGGGAAUAUUGCACAAUGGGGGAAACCCUGAUGCCAGCGACGCCGCGUGAAGGAAGAAGUAUCUCGGUAUGUAAACUUCUAUCAGCAGGGAAGAUGAUGACGGUACCUGACUAAGAAGCCCCGGCUAACUACGUGCCAGCCGCGGC
rnacentral:rRNA from 1 species